GAUAUCCCCGAAUUGUAACCAAACGGUAGAAGAAUAGGAGGGAAUUCUGGUCAAAAUAGGUUGUUCUAGAAUUGUAACCAAACGGUAGAAGAAUAGGAGGGAAUUCUGGUCAAAAUAGGUUGUUCUAGAUUGUUCUUGAACAAUCAGUUAAAAAUUAUUUCUAGAGCAACUGAGAAUAACUUUGUUCUUCUCUUUAUUUUAUUAGAUAAAUAGAUAUAUAAAUAAAUAUACUAAUAUAAAUAUUAUUUUUAUGAUAAU
rnacentral:lncRNA from 1 species